rnacentral:rRNA from 1 species
AUGGCGGAAUGCUUGGCUUCGAUAUUUGGUACAGAGAAAGACAAGGUCAACUGUCCAUUUUACUUCAAGAUUGGAGCUUUUCUUCAUAGCGAUCACUGUUCUCGCAUCCAUAACAGGCCAACCAUGAACAUGUAUCAGCGCCCUGAUAUGAACCCUGGUCACAUGAUCCUUGGAAAUUAA